rnacentral:rRNA from 1 species
CCUUCGGGUUGUAAACUGCUGUCUUUGGGGAGCAACGUUCGCGCGUGAACAGCGCGCGGAUUUGAUAGUACCCGAGAAGGAAGCCACGGCUAACUCUGUGCCAGCAGCCGCGGUAAUACAGAGGUGGCGAGCGUUGUUCGGAUUUACUGGGCGUAAAGGGUGCGUAGGCGGUCCUGUAUGUCGGAUGUGAAAUCCCAUCGAAAACGGUGGAACGGCAUUCGAAACUGCGGGGCUGGAGUGCAGGAGAGGAUGGCGGAAUUCUCGGUGUAGCGGUGAAAUGCGUUGAUAUCGAGAGGAACGCCGGUGGCGAAGGCGGCCAUCUGGACUGCUACUGACGCUGAGGCACGAAAGCUAGGGGAGCAAACAGGAUUAGAUACCCUGGUAGUCCUAGCCGUAAACGGUGUGCACUUGGUGUGGGAGGAAUUAUCCCCUUCCGUGCCGUAGCUAACGCGAUAAGUGCACCGCCUGGGGAGUACGGCCGCAAGGCUA